rnacentral:rRNA from 1 species
UACGUAGGGGGCAAGCGUUGUCCGGAUUUAUUGGGCGUAAAGAGCUCGUAGGUGGUUCGGUAAGUCGGAUGUGAAAUCUCCAGGCUCAACCUGGAGGGGUCAUUCGAUACUGCCGUGACUAGAGGUCGGUAGGGGAGUGUGGAAUUCCUGGUGGAGCGGUGAAAUGCGCAGAUAUCAGGAGGAACACCGAUUGCGAAGGCAGCUCGCUGGGACGUAACUGACGCUGAGACGCGAAAGCGUGGGGAGCAAACAGG